CCAUUCAACAAGACAUGAAACUAAACGAUGCCACUGUCAAUAAGUUGGGCAAAGUGAGGUGACCAUCGCCACAUUGGUAGUACAAGAAGAAAAAAAUUGGAGCCAAAGCCAUAACCUCCCACCCGAUGAUCUUGCUUUGCUUUCUCAAUACAGUCCCAACCAACAUUUCAGAACAAAAAAUGUUAUGACAUAAGAAGAUGUAGCUGAGGGCAUGCUUCAAUGCUUGAAAGGCUCAACGAUCAACCAACAUUUCACCACACCAUUCCAAGUGCAGAACCUUCUCUAUUAGCAGUUCUUGUUCCUCCUUGAACCGCAUGACCUGCUGCGACAUAAGUAUAAAUAUGGCACCAAGAGAAAGCAUCAAAUUUGAUUGAUAUUCCAACAAAAUAAGUUUAUGGGAAUGAUACAACAUAGUUGAUACCUGAGCAUUGCAGUUUCUUGGACUUGCAAAAGUGGUGGACUGGAUCUCACACCUCAUGGUUGGGGGAAUCACAUUGACAGAAUGCAUGUGCUCCAAUGCAUGAACCUACAAACAUAAAUUUUGCUUGGAAAAAGAAUUAGAACAAUUUAGUAAAAUUAGAAAGAAUAACAUAUUGUACUG
rnacentral:lncRNA from 1 species